rnacentral:rRNA from 1 species
CGAAAGUUACGCUAAUACCGCAUACGUCCUGAGGAGAAGCGGGGACCGUAAGGCCUCGCGCGAUUGGAGCGGCCGAUGUCAGAUUAGCUAGUUGGUGGGGUAAAGGCCCACCAAGGCGACGAUCUGUAGCUGGUCUGAGAGGACGACCAGCCACACUGGAACUGAGACACGGUCCAGACUCCUACGGGAGGCAGCAGUGGGGAAUUUUGGACAAUGGGCGCAAGCCUGAUCCAGCAAUGCCGCGUGCAGGAAGAAGGCCUUCGGGUUGUAAACUGCUUUUGUACGGAACGAAACGGUCUGGGCUAAUACCCCGGGCUAAUGACGGUACCGUAAGAAUAAGCACCGGCUAACUACGUG